rnacentral:rRNA from 1 species
UCAUGGCAGUGGAAACUGAAAGGCUUGAGUAUGGUAGAGGCAGAGGGAAUUCCCGGUGUAGCGGUGAAAUGCGUAGAUAUCGGGAAGAACACCAGUGGCGAAGGCGCUCUGCUGGGCCAUUACUGACGCUCAUGGACGAAAGCCAGGGGAGCGAAAGGGAUUAGAUACCCCUGUAGUCCUGGCCGUAAACGAUGAACACUAGGUGUCGGGGGAAUCGACCCCUUCGGUGUCGUAGCUAACGCGUUAAGUGUUCCGCCUGGGGAGUACGCACGCAAGUGUGAAACUCAAAGGAAUUGACGGGGGCCCGCACAAGCGGUGGAGUAUGUGGUUUAAUUCGAUGCAACGCGAAGAACCUUACCAGGGUUUGACAUCCUGCGAACCUCUUAGAAAUUUGAGGGUGCCUUCGGGAAUGCAGUGACAGGUGGUGCAUGGCUGUCGUCAGCUCGUGUCGUGAGAUGUUGGGUUAAGUCCCGCAACGAGCGCAACCCACGUUUUUAGUUGCCAGCAUUUAGUUGGGCACUCUAGAAAGACCGCCGGUGAUAAACCGGAGGAAGGUGUGGAUGACGUCAAGUCAUCAUGCCCCUUACACCCUGGGCUACACACGUACUACAAUGCUACGGACAAAGGGCAGCAAACUCGCGAGAGCUAGCAAAUCCCAUAAACCGUGGCUCAGUUCAGAUCGUAGGCUGCAACUCGCCUACGUGAAGUAGGAAUCGCUAGUAAU